AGCAAAGUGGAAUCUGCCUCUACGUGCAAUAUAUAGUUCGUGGAAUAAGAUACCAAUCGUAACGUGAUCCUUCUCCUACGGAAUUCAUCGUAGUUCGUAAGAAUAAGAUAUAUCAUGUGGUUCGAAUUCAAAGUUUCAUUGACACUUUUGACGAUAUCAAUCUUAAAACUAAAACUCACCUGAUGGAUGACGCCUUGACGAUCGCCGACAUUAAACUUUACGUAACAGUGGACGACUUCAGCGCCGAAGAAGAACUUUCAAUGAAACAAAUUCGACGCGCGGGAAUUUUGAAAAGAUAUAUAUAUAUAUAUAUAUAUUUAUUACCGUCUCCCUUCUUUCUUGUACCGUUACGAAUAAAUAAAUUUUUAAAUGAACAAAUUCUUAUGAAAGACGAA